GAUGAACGCUGGCGGCGUGCCUAAUACAUGCAAGUCGAGCGAACGGACGAGAAGCUUGCUUCUCUGAUGUUAGCGGCGGACGGGUGAGUAACACGUGGAUAACCUACCUAUAAGACUGGGAUAACUUCGGGAAACCGUAGCUAAUACCGGAUAAUAUUUUGAACCGCAUGGUUCAAAAGUGAAAGACGGUCUUGCUGUCACUUAUAGAUGGAUCCGCGCUGCAUUAGCUAGUUGGUAAGGUAACGGCUUACCAAGGCAACGAUGCAUAGCCAACCUGAGAGGGUGAUCGGCCACACUGGAACUGAGACACGGUCCAGACUCCUACGGGAGGCAGCAGUAGGGAAUCUUCCGCAAUGGGCGAAAGCCUGACGGAGCAACGCCGCGUGAGUGAUGAAGGUCUUCGGAUCGUAAAACUCUGUUAUUAGGGAAGAACAUAUGUGUAAGUAACUGUGCACAUCUUGACGGUACCUAAUCAGAAAGCCACGGCUAACUACGU
rnacentral:rRNA from 1 species